GAGUAUCUUGAUCAAGAGAGGGUGUUCUUUUUUAUCUUUUUUCCUUUGUAACCUCGAAAGGAAUAUAAAGGAAUUGGUCGUCGUCGUUGCACCGUGGAGUAGCUCCGUAAGAAUGAACCAUGUUAUAUCUGUGAAUACUGUGAUUUACUGGUUUUAAUUUGAUCUGUGAGUAUACUGUGAUUUGCUGAUUCCAAUAUCUAAGUCAUCAGAGCCUCUUCCUCGAAAAAAGAUAUCCUCUAUGAAGAAAAUUCAGAAAGGUUUCCUGGGGGGGAAAAGUUACUCGCCGCCAAAUGGCUAAGUAUCUUCGGAAGGUGGUAGGAGACGAUGAUCUGAUUGUUUCAUGCAUCAAGGCCUAUACUAAUGAGGAGAAAAAAUUCAAUCGUCAUCAAAUGGUUAAGUACCUUAGAAAGGUUAUAGGUGGUGAGGAUUUGAUUGUCUCAUGCAUUAACGCUUAUAUGCCAAUAAGAUGAAGGUGGAAUCAAUGAAUCCGACUUUUGAAAAAACUAAACUGCAACCGGGAAUAAUGUGGGAGCUGUGAUCAUGGGGUCCACUAGCUGUUCUAGUUAUCUUUCAUUGUAGAUUCUAGGUUUCUAAUAAGAUUCAAGUGUUUGUA